rnacentral:rRNA from 1 species
GACGAGGGGUCCUAGCGUUGUUCGGAAUCACUGGGCGUAAAGCGUAUGUAGGCGGGCUUCUAAGUCAGGUGUGAAAUCCCAUGGCUCAACCAUGGAAUUGCAUUUGAAACUGGAAGUCUUGAAUGUGGGAGAGAUUGGUAGAAUACCUGGUGUAGUGGUGAAAUACGUAGAUAUCAGGUGGAAUACCGGUGGCGAAGGCGGCCAAUUGGCCCAACAUUGACGCUGAGAUACGAAAGCGUGGGGAUCAAACAGG